rnacentral:miRNA from 1 species
GUUGCGUUUUUCAUACGUACGUAUACGCACGUAAGACUUUAAAUCCGUUUAAAUGUUACUUAUGAAAUAACCAAAUAAAUAAAGCAACAGAAUUUAGUGUUCCGCAAGUUUUAGUAUGCAUUUAUUAAAUUAUUUGUAAAAUAUUUAAAAAAUAGAAGGAUUCAAAGUUUUACGUGCGUGUACGUGCGUAGGAAAAACGCGAC